CCUUCGACUGUGCUGGGCACCUGCGGAGAAGCCAGAAGUGCUGAUUCUCAGACCCCAUCCUCAAGUAUCGAAUGUACUUCAUGACAUGGGUGGAGGGUCAGGAGUCUGAGUAUAACUAGCACAUCUGGGGCCCUUCCCCAUUAAGUCCAGUUUGAGAACACCCAGUCUGAGGCUGGAAGGCCCUUGCUUUCUCUCUGGCCUGCUCCCAGGGGCUGCCUCCUGCUGGGGUUGUGUUACCAUCCUCCUGUUCUCUCUGCUCAGUCCAGGCUUCCAGACUGGAGGACUUCUAGUACCAGUGAUGGGUCUUGGGCCUCCUGGGUCCUGGGCAGUGGCUAGAUGCUAUGACCUUGCUCCCACAGGUGUCCUACCCUGCUCGGGCCUGUGGAUGACCCUUCCGGAGGGCAAUCAGGGCCAAGGACAUGUGUGACUGUUCUCCCUGGGCUCUGGUCAAAGAGGUGGGGGUGGUGUCAGGCUCAGGCCAUCUUGGGAUUCUAGAAAAAAACAAGUGACUGUUUAUUUAGUUGUAGGUACCAAGGCAUUUGAAGGUCCACUCCUAAUUCCAGGAGCCAAUAUCUGGGUCAGGCUGGCAUGCCCACUGGGAGUGGCCAGGGCUGUGGGGACUAAAGGAGCCCUGCUGAGCAUGGUGCUCGUGGGAACUGAAGCUCCCUGGUGGGUUCUGGGGACAGAGGGAGUGUGCAGGAAUGGGUGGGAGUCAGGUGUGAUCAUCACUCACCUCCCCUAGUUUGAGAGUCUUCCUUCAGGUCAGAGUUCUGGCCUGGCCUGGCCAGUCUCCAAGGCUCUGUGGUGGCUGGGCUGGGGACCAGUCAGAAGAGUUGGUGUGAGGUUUAGGACAAGCUGGGUGUAGGGCCUUCUGGUUUGAUGAGUUGAGCAGGAGUUAAGACUGAAAGACCCUCGUCCUGCCUCACCCCUCGGAGCCCAGUCAGUGCAGCCCUGAUCCGGGGCUGGGUUCAGCCAGAAUACUGUCACUCAGGAGCAGCCCAGUCUCUGUAACUGAAAUGACAGCAGCCAAACUGGGGUGACCUCAGGGUCUGUGUUUCCCUUGUCACCUCCUCUUCCUGUCUCCAGGUCCUGGAUGGUGGGUGGUGGGCCAGGGGAGGUCCUGGGAGCCAUGGCCUUCCCUCUGUGUCCUGGGCAGGUUCUGAGUUGGUAGCUUCAACUCCAUCAGGGUCAGGAAGGGAGGACACAGAUGCAGCUGUGCCUUCUUGGUUCCCUUAGACACUGAAGGAUAAAGGGCAAGGAGCAAGCUAGGGAGACCUGCCCCCCUGCCCUGAUGCACACAGCUUCCACAAGCUCCGUUUCAAGUUCUCACCUAUGAUGAGAAAGAGGAGCUCAUGCCAGGUGGAGAGAUGCCCUCUGCCCUCUGGGCAGAUUCUCAGCAGAGGAGAGGGAAGAGUGGGUGUCAAGGCCUGGGCUGGGGGAGCUCAGCUUGCUCCCCUGAUGGAGGAUCAGCUGGGCCCAGAGCAUGGGGAGGAGCUGCCUGAUCUCUGCAUGUCUGGCUUCUCUGUGGUGCAUGUCCAGGGAUACUUCUGGGUUCCUGUUUCCAAUCAUGGGGGUCUCCAGGGGACAAGUGGAUAGUGUAGAUGCUGAGGGUGCCCAUGUCUGUCCUGCUGCUCCAGGUCCCCAAAACUUUUGACUAACGUUGUGCAUGUUUAAUUCUCUGUUGGCUGUGGCUGCUGCCUACCUAGGAGCUGAUAACUAAUCCUCCUCAGCAGGUGAGUCACUCUCAGGGCUCUCAUCAUUUCAGGUGAUGAGCCCACUCUCCUGGGCUGAUGCCCUGAAGUGGGCCCAAAACAAGGGUUUGCCCAUUUCACCUCCUACCUUCUUACUCAUCUGUGGACAUCCAGAUAGGGGGGCAUGCAGGAGGGCCCCCAAAGAGAAAAAAGAAACCUAGGAAAGGGAGGGUGGUGCAGAAGACCUCCGCC
rnacentral:lncRNA from 1 species